UUUCCCUCAGGAUAGCUAGAGUCUUUAUCAGUUUUGUCAGGUAAAGCGAAUGAUUAGAGGUUCCGGGGAAGUAACUUCCUCGACCUAUUCUCAAACUUUAAAUGGGCAAGAUCCAGUAGUUACUUAAUUGAACUAUUGGGGUCAAUGAGACGACUCUAAGUGGGCCAUUUUUGGUAAGCAGAACUGGCGAUGAGGGAUGAACCUAACGCUCGGUUAAGGUGCUAAACUGCUCGCUCAUCAGAUACCACAAAGGGUGUUGGUCGAUCUUAACAGCAGGACGGUGGUCAUGGAAGUCGAAAUCCGCUAAGGAGUGUGUAACAACUCACCUGCCGAAUCGACUAGCCCCGAAAAUGGAUAGCGCUGAAGCGAGUGACCGAUACCGGGCCAUUGUUGCAAGAUAAUUGGCAACAAUGAGUAGGAGGGCGUGGGGGUUGUGAAGAAGCUUGGACGUGAGUCUGAGUGAAACAGCUUCCAGUGCAGAUCUUGGUGGUAGUAGCAAGUAUUCAAUAAGAGAACAUUGAAGGCCGAAGUGGGGAAGGGUUCCAUGUGAACAGCACUUGGACAUGGGUUAGCCGAUCCUGAGAGACAGGUUAAAUUCCAUCGGAUUGGAGCUUUGGCUCUGUUUCUCGAAAGGGAAGCUGGUUAGUAUUCCAGCGCCGAGACGUGGAUAAUAUGUGGCAACACAAGUGAACUCGGACACGCCAUAGGGGACCCCAGGAAGCGUUGUCUUUUCUUUUUAACAGUUCGACUUACCCUGGAAUCAGAUCAUCUGGAGAUAGGGUUUUCGAACUGGAAUAGCACCUUGUCUAACAGGGUGUCUGGAGUGUUCUCGCUGGCCCUUGAAAAUCCGAGGGAUAGAUUUAUUCGCACUCUCGAUCGUACCCAUAACCGCAUCAGGUCUCCAAGGUUAGAAGCCUCUGGUCCGUAGGACAAAGUAAAUAAGGGAAGUCGGCAAAAUAGG
rnacentral:ncRNA from 1 species